CGGGUAUUAGCGCAGCUGGUAGCGCACUAGCUUCGGGAGUUAGGGGUCGGCGGUUCGAAUCCGCCAUACCCGA
rfam:Treponema berlinense strain ATCC BAA-909 genome assembly, contig: EI67DRAFT_scaffold00010.10